rnacentral:ribozyme from 1 species
UGCCCAGCAACUCCUAUUCCUACCUCCGCGUAGUACCGGCUGGAAACUACGAGCAAUCAUAGGGAAGAUCGGUUAACCAAAUCUGGUAGGAACUUUGGUCGUAGGCUGACAGGGAAGG